AAACCAUGAUGUGGGUAUUAUUUGAGCAUAUUAUUGUAUCUAUCCCAUGCUUCAAAUAAAGAUUCUGAAUCUGACUGUCUGAAGCUUCCAAUUUGAUUUCUCAUAU